rnacentral:rRNA from 1 species
GACGAACGCUGGCGGCGUGCCUAAUACAUGCAAGUCGAGCGGAAAGGCCCUGCUCUUGUGGCGUGCUCGUGAGCCGAAAGCGUGAGUGACACGUGUGUAACCUGUCCCUGUCUUUGGGGUAACACCUGGAAACACGGGCGCUAACACCGUAGAAGAUCUUGCAGCACAGGGUGGGUUGGUAAGAUACGGCGGUUCGGGAUGGACUGGCGGCUUAUCAGCUUGUUGGUGGGGUAGUGGCUUACAAAGGCUUUGACGGGUAGCCGGCCUGAGAGGGUGACCGGCCACAUUGGGACUGAGGGAGGGCCCAGAAGGCAACGGGAGGCAGCAGUGGGGAAUAUGGCGCAAUGGGCGGAAGCCUGAUACAACAACGCCGGGUGCGGAAAGACGGCUUUCGGGGUAUAAACCGCUUUCGCCUGUAACGAACAGUGAGUGACGGUAAUGAGUAAGAAAGCACCGGCUAACUACGUG